UACGUAGGGUGCAAGCGUUAAUCGGAAUUACUGGGCGUAAAGGGUGCGCAGGCGGCCAAGUGUGUUAGGCGUGAAAAGCCCCGGGGCUUAACCCCCGGAAUUGCACCUAAAACUACAUGGCUAGAGCAUUGGAGAGGGUAGGCGGAAAUUCACGGUGUAGCAGUGAAAUGCGUAGAUAUCGUGAGGAACACCAGAGGCGAAGGCGGCUACCUGGACAAUUGCUGACGCUCAGGCACGAAAGCGUGGGAGCAAAAGGG
rnacentral:rRNA from 1 species